UUUGCCAUCCAGUCGGAGCUCUUCUGGGCAGUGUGGGGCUUCUUACAGUCCGGCCCAAAGGAGGUGGUAGAAUUGAUGGUGAUUCUGUCAUAUAAUAGUGAAUUCUGUCCUUCUUGGUAUAAUGAAGACACCACUGAUGAUGUGCUCGUUUCUAUCAAUAUGACACAAUCAACAAGAGAACACUAAAACACAGACUUCUUUUUGCAGAAUCCUGGGAUGGACAUAACUACUGAAGUCCAUUGCAUCUCAAUUCCCGGAGAUCUGUCCCAUCCUGUUUCCAGGCAGAUUUUAAAGCGCAAAUUCAUAAAAAUCCAUCUACAAACACUAAAGGUAAAUUUUAAACAACUUACAAGGUGAUCCAAAGGUUACACACUUUAUCCAUCCUGCCCCCCCUCCAAAUAAAAAUAAUUUCCUUUUAAACCUUCUGAAAGGAUGUAUCCAACCACUGCCAACCCGAGUAGCUAGGAUACAAGGACUUUUGCUUGAAUGAGCACGCCUUGACUGAACAUAGAACAAGUUACCGUACCUUGGGAGCAACAGGGCUUGAUGGCAUGCCAUCACUCCCAGAAAAACAUGGCUGUCCCCAGGAAUCCAAAUAGCCUGGCCAGGGAUCUUUCUUGAUCUCUCUUCCUAUUACUAAAAUGCUAAGGAUCCCGAAAAAAUCAAGUUGAUAUUUUUGCUUGUCUUCAUUUGUAUCCUUCCCC